UACGUAGGGUGCGAGCGUUAAUCGGAAUUACUGGGCGUAAAGCGUGCGCAGGCGGUCUGUUAAGACCGAUGUGAAAUCCCCGGGCUUAACCUGGGAACUGCAUUGGUGACUGGCAGGCUUUGAGUGUGGCAGAGGGAGGUAGAAUUCCACGUGUAGCAGUGAAAUGCGUAGAGAUGUGGAGGAAUACCGAUGGCGAAGGCAGCCUCCUGGGCCAACACUGACGCUCAUGCACGAAAGCGUGGGAGC
rnacentral:rRNA from 1 species